rnacentral:rRNA from 1 species
UAGUCCACGCCGUAAACGAUGAGUGCUAGAUGUCGGGUGUCAAAGCUCGGUAUCGCCGUUAACACAUUAAGCACUCCGCCUGGGGAGUACGUACGCAAGUAUGAAACUCAAAGGAAUUGACGGGGACCCGCACAAGUAGCGGAGCAUGUGGUUUAAUUCGAGGCAACGCGAAGAACCCUACCAGGGCUUGACAUAUCUUUUGACCGGUUUAGAGAUAAACCUUCUUAUUCGGAAGCAGAGAUAC